GACGAACGCUGGCGGCGUGCUUAACACAUGCAAGUCGAACGGAAAGGCCCUGCUUUUGUGGGGUGCUCGAGUGGCGAACGGGUGAGUAACACGUGAGUAACCUGCCCUUGCCUUUGGGAUAACUUCAUGAAACUGGGGCUAAUACCGGAUAGGAGCUCCUGCUGCAUGGUGGGGGUUGGAAAGUUUCGGCGGUUGGGGAUGGACUGGCGGCUUAUCAGCUUGUUGGUUGGGUAGUGGCUUACCAAGGCUUUGACGGGUAGCCGGCCUGGGAGGGUGACCGGCCACAUUGGGACUGGGAUGCGGCACAGACUCCUACGGGAGGCAGCGGUGGGGAAGAUUGCACUAUGGGCGGAAGCCUGAUGCAGCAACGCCGCGUGCGGGAUGACGGCCUUCGGGUUGUAAACCGCUUUCGCCUGUGACGAAGCGUGAGUGACGGUAAUGGGUAAAGAAGCACCGGCUAACUACGUG
rnacentral:rRNA from 1 species